CGCAGACUGGCGCAGACGCACGUAAAGCACAUGUAAAAUAAAGUUGGUAACAUGGAAUAUUACAAUUCCCGCUCAUUUGAGAGGAAAAGUACAGUUGUUCUUCGGAGAUGCAGAUGAAGCAUGUCGAAUGCGGAUCAAAAUAACGAGGGAAGUAUUGGAGUGUAUUCUUUUCUACAUUUGUUCUCACUUAAUGGUGUUUUGCCGAUUGCUGUAUCAUGGAUUCAAACCGGCGCCAAUUCCAGUAAUAUAAAGUGCCUGUUUUUUAUUCGAUUCUUCGAUGGAACUAAUAAGCAGUCUAAAGCAGAUUUGAGGCGGACAUAGCAAACUGCGAUAUUCUAUAUAACCGGAAUGCCGAAUUGACUGACUGAACAUCGCUACCCGAAUCUUCGAGCGUCGUCAUGAAGCUGCUUCCGUGUUUUAUAUUUUUCAUCACAUUGGGUUAAUCUCACAAGCGACAAUGAAUGCCAUAUAAGUGUGCGCUUGGAGCAAAAGCAGGGGCAACGGAUUGUAACUGCAAGACAUCGGCCGAUAAACCUUCGCGCUUCAAAUCGUGUCGUAUUUGUUCCGCCGUAAUUUCGUAAUAUAAUAAAACGUGCGUCGGGAGUGGCGUGAUAGUUUCGCGCGAGUACGAAACGCCGUAUUUUAACGAAUCUAUAGAUGAACGCAUUUUUGCUAUAUGACAAAUAUUGGGACACGAUUUUUUUUUUACUUAGGCUUGGCUCGGGGGAGGGAAAGGUCGGUUUUAAUCAUAAAAUCUCGACUACGGCAGGGCAAUCUUCGGUUCUACGUGCAGCGCGCUAGUUGUACAGAUAGCCGGACUGUCGAAGGUAGUCGA